UACGUAGGGUGCGAGCGUUAAUCGGAAUUACUGGGCGUAAAGUGUGCGCAGGCGGCCGCGCAAGUCGAGUGUGAAAGCCCCGGGCUUAACUUGGGAAUUGCGCUCGAAACUACGUGGCUAGAGUGUGGCAGAGGGAGGUGGAAUUCCACGUGUAGCGGUGAAAUGCGUAGAGAUGUGGAGGAACACCGAUGGCGAAGGCAGCCUCCUGGGCCAACACUGACGCUCAUGCACGAAAGCGUGGGGAGCAAACGGG
rnacentral:rRNA from 1 species